UAAUCACCUCCCAAGGGCCCCACCUCCUAAUGCCAUCACAUUGGGGAUUAGGAUUUCAGCAUAUGAAUUUGUGGAGGAACACAAGCAUUCAGCCCAUUGUACCAGAUGAGGAAACUGAGGCUUGGAGAGGUGCAGCGACUUGCCUGCUGACCUGACAGCUCAGAUUCAAACCCAGGCUCAGCUAGUUUCCAAUAGAAUCCUCUGCAGGUUCAUACAAUGCCAUGAACCUCCCUGUAUGUAGGCUUGGUCUAAAUCUCAAGUAGAUUUUGUCUUGAGUGCUGAUUCUGAUUGGGCACUGUGUUGAGGAUUCUGAGGCACUAUCCCAGCUCUGUGGUCAGGAGUGAACCUUCAUCACUGGUGUCUUUCCAGCUUCUCUUUCUCCUUUAUUCUGGAAAAUGGCUCCUCUCUGACUUCAUGUGGUUCUCUGGGCUGCCAGUCCUAGUAACAAAGAGCCCCCCUUCCACUGAAUAUAUGACCCCAGCAGGCCAAUCAGAAGCCUCCCCUGAAGUUUUCAGGAUGGGGAAGGGAAGUGUGCUGUCCAUCUUACCUCUGAAUCAUGAACUGGGAAGGAGGUAGCUUCAGAGCUGCCAGCUGCCGUCCCCAGGAGCCCUGCCUGAAAGAAUGCUUGCAAACAUACAGAUACCUAGAGGAGAAAUGAAGAGGGGAGAGAGGGGUCCAUGAGGUUCCCAGGAGGGCCCAGGGGCUGCGCUGCUGCCUGCAGCUUCUUCUUUGGUUUUCUGAGUUACUCCAUUAUCUAUAUAACAAACCCCCUUUUGCUCAAGCUGGUUGGUCAUUUCCAACAAAAAGAGUCCUGACUAACACAGAGUGCCAUCAUUGAUUAGUAAUGUCUGCCUUGGGUGAGUGAGUGGGGAGCAGAGGUUCAUACAGCAUAUAUUUCCCAUUCCUGGCUAAGAGUUUGUCUGAGACAGUGAACAUGUCCCAUGACUAAUAUUCUUUAAAUAAUGGGAAUAUUACUUAUCAAUUCAUUAACAGAUAUUUAUUGAGUACAUACAUGCACACAGUCCUGUGCUAAGUGUCUCAGCACCAUAAGACAAGAAAGGUAAACAGAAUUCACACUGAGCAUCUACUAUAUGCCUGUUGCUUCAUACGUGUGCUUUGUAAUUUCCUCUAACCAUUAUAACACCUGGGCCUGAAUGGUUUAAUUAUCCCCACUUUAUAGAAGUUGAACUGAGGAUCUCAGCUAACUAGGGGCAAAGCCUGGACUCAAGUCCAAGCUUUUGAUCUCUGGUCUGAGGCUCUUUCCACCACAUCCCUCACUCUUUCAUUUCCUGAGUUAUUCCAUAUACAUUGAUUCUGGCUAAUUAUAAAAGCAAUAGCAGCAGUGACAACAAGAAUAACAGCUGGCACUUACAUAAUCUUUACUACACAUAAGGCAUGGUUCUAAGCCCUUUACCAUACUUAACUCACUUGGCCAUUUCCAAUGUUAAGCAGAAAGGCAGGAAAACAGAUAAAUUCCAUGUGUUUACCUACUUCAAGGAGAUCGUGGUCUAGCAAACGAGACAAGCGCCUAGGUGGGUAAUUGAUAAUUUUGUGUUCACAUCCAUACUCUCAACCCAAAGAAUGUCAAGACUCAGUUCAGGCAUCGCGUCCUCCAGGAGACCUCCCCUGACUCCUGUUUGAUGCUUCCCCUGGGCAUCCAUGGCUCCUAGGUGCUGGGAAGCCCUGUCUGGUUCAUCUCCAACGUCCAGUUCCCAGCAUAAGACCUUGCUACGCUGGGUGCUGGGAGUAUUUGAUUCAUGACUGUAUGUGGGGAAGUUCAUGGGGAUGGGUGGAGGCAGGAGAUGGUGACUGUCCCAUAGGGAGGGGGUUCACAGAGAAGGCUCCAUCAAGAAGGGGUUCUGGGUCGACUCAGAGGCGAGAGGCACCAGGCCACUUUCAUAUUGGGAGGGCUCCUGAUAUCAUAAAUCAUGGAGAAAUAAUGUCACAAAGUGGCAUAUUUUUAAACAGUUCAAGUGAAUUAAUGAAGACUUUUAACAACAUAACCCCAAGGCACAAGAAGGUGUAUGUGAGGGAUGUGUUCCUGAAGACCUUGCAUAACUCAAAAUUUAUAAUUCAAGACCAACACGGACACUUCUGCUUACUGCCAGUGUGGCGCCACCGUGUGGCAACAGUGCAAUGGGACCCACAGACCCAACCUGCCCACUAUGAAAGUGCUACAGGACAACUGAAUUUCCUGCCACUGCUCAGUGUGUGUGUGCGGAGCAGGAGAUAGCGGGCAGGAAGAUUUGUAUUAUUUCCAGUUUUGUAUUUAGAAUGAUACUUCAUUAAUAUUCUAACACAACACUGCCUCAAAUUCACAUAAAAUGUAACCCCCAUCUCAGGAACAUCACCAGUGAAUGUGUGAGGACCCUUGUGAAUGUGAAGAUGGGACAAGUUACCACUCUCCAGCCCCUGACAGCUCCUGGGAGCUGCCAUGCUCACAUUGUCCCAUGGUGACACAUCGUCCACAUCCUCUUUCCCACUGGGUCCAGCCACCAAGGCAUGGAAGCAUGAAGCCAGGGUGGCCAGGUUCCACCACAAAAGCAGUGUGCCCCGCAGGCCUGGGGGUACCAUCCAUGUGUAGCAAUGACCCUAGCACAGCCCCGUCAGAGGCAAACCCUUUGCUCUCAGGUGCUCUAGCAGCCCUACGUCAGUCUUAAGUUUUGGAUCCAAGACAGCAUCUCAGACUAUUCAAUCACUAAUCCAAUGAAUGAAUAUUUAUUGAGCAUUUACUGUGUGCUGGCUACUGCUCUGGUGCCAGGAAAGUUCUUGCCCCAUCUUGGGUCGAAUAUUCACGUGGCCCAUUUAGACAGUAUUAAGGAAGUCCCAGGUCUUGGACUUUCUUGUGGGGGCAGAGAUAAAUCUUUCAAUGCUCAACAGUAUUUAAAAAGUACCUCCUACAUGCAAGGAACUGUCCUAGGCACUGAGCAGUGAGCAAACCAGGUAAAGACCGUGCCCUCAUGGAGCUGCCAUUCUAGUGGGGAAACAGAAAAUAAACAACAGAAAUAAGUAAAAUACACCCAACUUCAGCGAUUCUAUGAUGCUGAUUUCCCCCUGACAUUUAACAUUUCUGAAAUCAGAGUGUGUCCUACAUUCAAUGGUAUCUUAGUCUUGUUCUGCCGUUUAAUUGGCAUGUUUUUCUUUCUUCAUGGUGCAUAAACUAAUAGCUCAUCUUGCUACUGGUGACAUCUGAAUUUGAUGAACUGCACAGUAAGUUAGACCGUGUUGAGAAAUAAGAAGAAAGCCAAGCAGGGAAGGAAGGUGGGGGUGUUGUGGAGGGCGGCUGCAUUUAGACAGUCCUGGCAGAUAGACAGAAGGUGAAUUUCAGCAAAGACCUGCAGGAGGUGAGGGAGGGAGCCGCAUGAUGUCUGAGGGAAGAGCAUUGCAGCAGAAGGAACAGCAUAUGUGAAUGCCUCGAGGCAGCAGAGUGCCUGGAAGAGUGGGGAGGCCCAUGUUGCUGGAGGGAAAUGAGUGAGGGGAGGUGAAUAGAGGAUGAGUUCAGAGGGGGAACAGAGGCCAGGUUAUUUUGCCUUUAAGAGCUUUGUGAGGACUUUGGUUUUUACUCUGAGUAAACUUCCAGAGCAAUGUUGAUCUUCUGACAUCCACUUUGUGGAUGAGGAAGUGGAGUUCCAGAGAAGAUUUUUUAAAUGUCCCAGACCAACUCAGCAGACUGGUGGAGCUCAGAUCCUGAGCCAAAUCUAACUCUUAAGGCUGUGGUCUCUCUCGAGCAGGCAGAUGAGUGACCAGUACACGGGAGAGAAGUGAGGGUGGUCGAGGGGCCAGCCAGGCCACAAGGCCUCAGCUAGCAUAGAGGAGGCUCUAAAGUUCAGGCUGGUGGGUGGUGUGACUGCAGGACAGCCUCCUUGGAAUCUGUCUUAUAGAGUCCCCCAAAUUCACACAAGGAGCACCCCUUCAAUGUGCAGUUCUUGCAAGGAGCUCUGGAUUAAAUGGGCCUGAUUGUCAAGGCAGUGAUACCACCAGAACAUGAGUGUUUAUCUUGUGGCUCAGAGACUUGGGUAAAUACAUUUAACAAUUAGUGGCUAGUUUAUAUAAUAGUAAUGCCCUAAUAAGCCAACUCACAGGACUAUCUUGGGGACUUAUUAAGUAUUAGGAGCUCCAAGUUGGAUGCAUGGAGCACACAGUAUUCCAGAAAAUCCUCCCCUGCCCCUCAGGUGUAAGUAGACAGGGAGGGAACAGAGGGUUGCCCACAUCCCAAUCGUCCCUUCCUCUUUUCUUCCUCCCUUCCACUCUAGAGCAAGACUGAACCUUGCCAGUUUGAAGACCACAGGCCUUAGCUGUGGGUAGUGGCAGAUGAGACAGGCCAACCAUUCCAGAAUGUUUCCCUUUUGUAAAAGAUUGAUUGUAUUAAUGGCCUCCCUGUGUCUGCAUCUCUCUGCAAUAUGACCUUGCAGCUCCUCCCAUAUUAAGGGGAGUCUGUUUCCCUGUCACUUGAAUGCAAGCUGACUUCCUGACUUGACUUGCCAGGAGAAUGUGGCAGUUCUACACCAGUUCUAAGCCCAGGCCUGAAAGUGCUCACAUGCUUGCUCUCGCUCUCAUGCCAUGAGAACAAAUCCUCUCUGUAGCCUGCUGGAGGGUGCUGAACCACAUGAAGGAGAACCCAGGAGUCCCGGCAUACAUCCUGCACCAGCCUGAAGCAGCCAUCUGACCCCCAAACAAGGGAGAGAGCCCAGGACAGAUCGGCAGGGCUGCCUACCUGACUCUCAGCUCACCUCAGAUACUCAGGAGGAAAUAGGACUUCCAAAGAUCUCUGAAGAAAUGUCAGGAUAUUUGUAUGUUACUGUAACAGGAUAAAAAUGUGACCAAAAAUGACUGUGACAGGGAAAAGAGAUGUAACAAGAAAAAUGUGUCAGGAGGCAGCAUUCACUGACACGAAGUUCAUGCACAUCUUUUUCUCCCCGCAAGCAAUGGGGAUACCUGUGUAAGCAAAUACAUUAAUACUGCUGCUGUAACAGACACGCUCCCUGGCGCUGACGAGUUCACCCACAGGAUCCCUGCUGGGGUGGAAGGACAUGCUGCAUUUUGAGCCCCCAGUAUAUUCUUUAUGAGCAUCUUUGUGCAAUAGUCAUAAAAAUUGAGGAAAACAGCAAGAAGGGUGAAGGGAAAAGCAAAGAGAAGAAACAAUCCUGCAAGAACGGGGCCAACCAGCCACAUCUGCCAGGGGCCACCCCAGGCUUUGCAGACCAGGUGCCUGCGACGCGCUAGCAGUAAGGGUCUGUGAUGCCCUGAUUUCAGUAUUUGGGCCUGUUUUCUAUGAAGAGUGAUUCCUAGCUUGGGAGGAAAAGGCUUCUGGCAGCCUCUGUGCUCUGCGGGAGGCCCCAGCCUCUUCAGGCCACACUGCCCUAUCCAUCUGGCAGUGCCGGAGGCCUUCUUCUUGCAGCUGGACGGGUCAGCAACUUCCUGCCGCUGGGAGCAGCCCUGACCAAUGGCUGAAGAUAGUGGGGAAUAAACAUGCCCGCUCCCUUUCCCCUCAGAUACAACACUGUGAGCUCUGGUCCUCCCUGGCUCUCAGCACAUCUCCAUGGCAUUCCGCUCCAGUUGCCCAUGGAGGUGGCUGGCGCCUGAACUCUCUUGGUGAGCUGUCUUCCCCUCCCUGUGUCACUAGGCCCUCUCUUAGCAGUGCACCCUGCCUCCCCUCUCAAGGAAAAUGCCUGCACUUGCAUCCCUGCCUCAGGGUCUGCCUCUGAGGGAGCCUGAACCAAGACAGAGGAAUAUUUUCAACAAACCAUAGAGGUGCUUUUGAGAUCCUCCCCUCCCUGCCCCACUGAAUUGAGAACUCGUUCAGCAAACCACCAGAACGUCCAGGUAUGCCACCCUCUCUGCACAGGGGCAGUGGAGAGUGCACAGGUUCUGAGGCAGCAGCCUGGGAUGAACCUCUAGCAAUUCCGCUCACCAGCAGUGUCACCUCAGAUAAGCUACUUAAGGACUCUGGGCUUAGUUUUGUCACUUGUCAAGGAGGAAGUCCUCCUCCCCCUCUGUCGUGAGGAUUCAAGGAGAGACACAUGGACUCACCCUGUGUCCAAACAUGGACACUGAGCAAAACCUCAAUUUAUGGUUUUAAAGAUGUCAAGAAGUAUUACCUUAAUAUACAUGUCACAAAAAUCCUUGUCAGACUCUGUUCUGAUUUACUUGCUAUGUAGGUCACAUAGCAAGUAAAUGCCUAAAAAGUACAAUUUAAUGAUCCUUUGGUAACUCCUCUUCCCCUGGGCUGGAAUGAUGUUCUGGAGUUAUAAAUUAGAAGAAUGCUGGUACCCUACCUACCUGGAGGAGAGACAAAUCAUGGUACACUGUGAAAACAGCACUAAGAGAUGUCUGUGGUGGGCACU